UACGAAGGGGGCUAGCGUUGCUCGGAAUACUGGGCGUAAAGCGUGCGCAGGCGGUUUGUAAGACCAGGUGUGAAAUCCCCGGGCUCAACCUGGGAAUGGCAUUUGGGACUGCAAGGCUGGAGUGCGGCAGAGGAGACUGGAAUUCCUGGUGUAGCAGUGAAAUGCGUAGAUAUCAGGAGGAACACCGAUGGCGAAGGCAGGUCUCUGGGCUGACACUGACGCUCAUGCACGAAAGCGUGGGGAGCGAA
rnacentral:rRNA from 1 species